AGUAGUGUCCCGCUCUGGCUCGAAUCAAAAAGGCUGAACAGAACAUUUUAAAUGCUGCUCAAUCGACAAGAGCUAUGGACAGGAGACCCGUGCAAUCUCCCAGGCCUUCCACUGCUGCAGAAGCUUCUGAGGUAGCAGUGGGUCAUCCCAUCCCCUGUGCUUGUCCCAAAGGUGCCUGACAAGUAUCUUAGCUCUGGUGGUGUAGGGUAAGAUGAACCCCAAGGAGUCAUACUGACUCGCCAGCACUUUGUACAUGUUGCGCAUCGUGGGAACACCGUAGUCCACAUGGCGAUGCUUGCAGCCUAGGACAUCGGUGUGGAAGAGCCAGCUUAGCCCUAGAGUGGAUUCCGGGGCAUCUGUCUUGAUCUGAGCCAGCCAUAGUUCAACACUAGCAGAGCGGCUCUCUUCUAGUAGGUGACUUAUAACAUUGGUUUCAUUGCUGGCCCACUGAAGCAGCUCAAAGUCUGCAGAUGCUAGGAGGGCUCUCUUCUCAACUGAGAUCCUCACCUCCUCAUCUGGCUGGCUGUUAUCGGUGACGUGGUGCUAUAAGGCAAACGUGGCACAGCAGGGGCUACACGUCAUUCCAAACGGUAGCACCUGCCACUCAUACAACGCAGGGGGAUCUCUUGACUGACAUCCUGCCAAACGAAUCUGAGCAAGGCACGAUUUUCUGGGAGGAGGCAAAUCUGGUGGAACAUGCCUCUGAUGUCUCCACUGACUGCCACUGCAUGCUCUUGGAAGCGUAGCAGGACUCCCAAAAGUGAUGCUCCUAAGGUCGGCCCAAGCAGCAGGUAGUUGUUCAGGUUCUGUCCUCGAUACUGAUAGGAGCAGUUAAAUACCAGUCUAUUCUUGCCAUUAUAGGUUCACCAUAUGGUGAGGGAUAUACUAUGCCUCACGACCUUCCUCAACUGGUACGUCAGGGCCACACUUGAUGACAGAGCCUGCCUUGAUCAGUUUCCCCAUCUCCACUCUGUAGGCUUCAGCCUGUGCAGGGUCUCUAGCCAGUCGCCUUUCUACGAUUCAUAAACUCGGCAUGACGGCUUCUUUAGUAGCCUGAAGGAGUGACAUGUCUCUUCAGCAGAGCAGCGGGGUGGUGUAACGUAGUAUGCUGUCGACCUCUACUCUGAUGGUUUUGGUCUCGAGGAUGCUGAUGGCCUGUUAGUCCUGCCUUGAACGAGUAACUAGUUUCUAACUUCGGAAUGGAACAGUAUUGACCUGCCAUAGUUUCUCAACGUGUUUCAUCAGCUUGCUCACCUGGGGCGUUACUGUUGUCAAUAGGCACUGCUGUGGUCAGGCGAGGUGACAGACCACACUAGCUGGGGCCUGCAGAACCCAGCUAUGCCUCGUGCGAAUGGCAACAGGCUCUCCUGGAGGUCCGAACCUGACCAGUUCAAUGGGGGUGACGACAUGGGGGUGGUCACUCGCAAUGAGAAGCAAGGGCUUAAUGUUUGUGAGGGUCCGUAUGGGAAGGCUAAUAAGGUGCAGUAAUUCUUCCAGAGUUGCUCCAUGGGGUAGGUAUGGCCUGCUAGUCCAAUGCAAGCAGUGAUAAAAGCACCUGUAAUCUUGAACUUGGUCUUUGGCCUUGCAGGAGAAGAAAUGGAGAACGACACAUGCACCGUGGAGGGUCUGCACAUCCUGUCUAAUUGUGCGUAGUGGUAGGUCCUCUGGGGUCCUUUGCACACCUAACUUCUCUGCUGCAUCCGGCAACAGCAUAGUUCUCUCUGAACUGUUGUCCAGUAUGGUGUAGGUGUUGAUUGUUCGGUCACCAUGGUGAAUGCGGACUUUGACAACUUUCAGAAGGACCUGGCUGCCUUCUGUGGGUCUGUCUACAUACAGAACCUCUGUCAUGGCUCUUGUGCCAUGGCUCUCCACUGCUGGUAUUGUCACUGACUCCUUAGGUGGUUUCACAUUGACCUCUUGCAGCACCUGGAGGUGCUUCCCUUGGCAUAGGCUACAUGUCUUUUUCAAGUUGCACUGGGCCGCCUGGUGUGGCCGUGCACAGCGCUAAUACCUCUUGUUACUCUUUAUCCAUUCUGUCAGCUGAUCCUUAGUUAGCCUGGAUACUGCUAUACACUGACUGAGAUAGUGUUCCUCAUUGUUGCAGAACAGACAGUAUGACUUGCUCUUGUUCCCUUUGAAGGAGCUACCUGGCACUGGAACCUCGGGUUUCUUAACUGCGUCCUUCACACCGUGGAGGACAGUGAUGGAUCGCUUACCCUGCCGUCCCUCAGGUCUGGACACCGGCUUCUCCUUAGCCCCUCUCACAGCUAACUGUCCUUCGGAGUCCUGGCACCAGGACUCGUAUUUCAGCCACUCUGAAAGAUCAGUUAAGGUGUGGGUUUGUGUGCCCCGAUGGAACAAGCAGCUUACUUACCAGACGAGCAACAUGUGAGCCAUACUGUAAUUCCACUUAUCCCUCGGGGCCUAGUGUUCUCAGCAUUCCCACAAGUGACUGUAUCUGGAGCGCAAACUUCUCAAAUGCAGCAAGGUCUCCACGCCUGACGUCCGGUGAGUCCAUCACAACAGAAAUACGCCUCAGUGCUAUCUGAUGUGGUUGGCUAAACUUGUCAUUCAGGGCGACCAUUGUGUCUGAGAAGGCCAUUGGAGAGUUGAGGUAAGCGUCUGCUAUUAACAUGGCCUCUUCUAGGUGCAGGUGAUCGACCAACACUUGGUAUUUAAACAGCUCGGUUGCAUCAUGUGGUAAGAGGUUCUCCAGUGAGAUCUUGAGCCGUGCAAACUCACUUGAGUCCCGACAUGAGAAGUUGGGGAUUGUUGGGCGUGGCCCAUAGUAACUCGGCUCUGAGAUGGAAUUCUUACCCUGAGGCAGUCUGGAGGGCAGUGGCUGUGUCCAUGACAUGUCUGGAUGCUGCUGUGGGGGCGCUGGGUUGCAGCCAGGCUCACUCCUGUGACCACCAUAAGCUGUAGGAUACCUGGGCUCAGCUGGAAGACAACUGUGUGGCCACAGUGGAGGCUGAACCGGCUUGAACCAGGGAGGUGGAUAAUGGGCAGUGUUAUCCCAUGGCCUCGUAGCAGGAGGGGCAUCACAUGCUGAGUGUUGAACUUGUGGCAGGUGCGUAAGCAGCUUAGUAGUUGUGGGUGGCACUGCCUCUUCCCUAACGCAUGGAAGCUCUUCUACUCUCCUAUUAAGGUGAUGUAGCUUUGGUGGGUCACUAGGCAGCAACACUUCCCCUACUGUGUCUGGCUGUGGUGGCAGUGCAGGCCAGUCAUCCUCUUCCUCACCAUCAGGUUCACUUCCAACCGGUGGCUGUGGUUGCAUGACCAUUAGCUCUGGCUUGCGGGUAUGAAGAGAAGAUGGGCUCUGUAGGCUCUGGACAUCAUCCACUAACUGUCUCAUUUCUGCUUGCAGUGCUCUAAGCUCAACUAGAUCUGAUAACAUGUGUCACUGUGUCUGCUGCAUGAGGUGCCUCUCAUGACGAAUGUCCUCUAACUCUGCUCUACAAUCCUCAUAUGGAUGUCUGGGGUGCAGUGUGAUCUUGUAACCGUUCCCUAAGCUCUCUCUCGAAAUAGUGGGGGGGCUAGCUCACUCUCCUGGAUGUGCUGUUGGCUCUCGGCUCCAUUGUACAAGUCCAUCUCUUGAAGAAUAGCAUCCCCCCUCUGCAGGCAACUUGGUGGGGGAGAGUCAUAAGGGGAGGUGAGGGAGGUCAUCCUGGCCUUACCCUCUUGAUGUACUAUUCCUUUUGUACUGUUGCUCUGCUGAUUGAUUUCCUGGAUCAAUAACUUUUGCCUGUUAAACUGACUACGAGUGUGCUUAUCCCUGAAAUAAAUCUCCGCUUUAUUAUUA